ensembl:antisense Gm20089 predicted gene, 20089
GCUGUCUCUGGGAUGGGCUUAGAGAUGGGGACAAGCCGUACAGCGACUCUACAGACCCCAGCUCCCAUGCUAUAGGCCCAGCCAGGGAUGUACAAGAGCCAUGCAGCUGGUGUAGCCUAUGACCACCACAGGGCCAGAUCCUCCAGGAUACUCAAGUCCAGAAUGGUUCAGUGACUUCUUCAGGUCACCCAGGAAAGGAAGAUGGGAAUAUGGUGAGCUCUCCACCUGUUCCUGUGUUCUUAGAAUCUCCAUGUACAGGCACGGCGGUGUCAGCAGAGAUGGAGGCUGGGAAACUCUAAAAUUACCCAGGUAGGUAAUGCUGUCUCGGCCUUAAGAUCAUCGGAACGCCCAUGAUCUAUCGGCAGCACCGGACGGAACCGACUAGGAAGCAACCACAGGGUGUUCUCAUCCUGGGUCCCUGCGGCAGAUUAGCAGGUGAAAAUACCUUGUCUUCAAAAUGGCCACUGGUUAGGAUGACAGGCGAAAACUAAAAGGCAGAAAUUCAAGCUUAAGUAGAUUGACAAAAGGAAGGCUUCUCCAGGAUUUUUCUAAUGCUUGCUCAUCCCGAGAUUUAAAUAUUUAUUCUCCGCACACAGCCAAUGUGUCCACGCAGAGUCAGCUGAACGCUGGACCCCGGGGCUCUCCUCGGAGGGGCAAUGCUGAGAUUUUUGUGUGUAUAAUAUUAUUAGAGAAAGGAUAAAUAUUUAAAAAGAAACCAGUAAUUUUUCCUUAUGGACUACCAUAAGUUCUCCAAACACUCUGAGGAAGACCGUGCCGCAUCCCUACAGGACAGCCGUCAAGCCUCCAGAGCCUGACACGAGUUUUCCCCUGCAAUUUUGUUGUGUUCAAUUUUGAUUCGAAUCUGCAAUCCAUCAGCAAAGGCUUUGCCAUGUUGCUUAUUCGAAGAUUUUCAGUGAGUGACAUUUGUUGAAGUGGGAUUUAAUUUAAACUUGAUAGCAGCCCUAUGGCGACAUUGGAAGCAUCCCUCUCCAUCAGGGUCGCCUGUAACAUUUUGGAAAGAGCUGCAGUACCCAGGUCACAUUCUGCCUCUGUCUACUAAGGGGCCGCUGAAAAGGGGUUUUGUUUUUGUUUUUCGUGGAGAUUUUUCCUUAUCUCUAGACUGAGUGUGAUCUCUCCAUUUCAAGAAGAAGCUCAGAUAUGCUUCUGAUUCCCUUUCCAGCCUUGUCGUAUGCACACUUUUCGAUCUUGGCUGGGGGAAACACUGUCAGCGGACUCGCUGUAUAAUCUCCAUCUACCUUGGCCGGCUGGUUGGUCACGCAUCUCAAAAUAGCAAGUACUAAAUAUGUAAAAAGCAUCAGAAGAAAAUAAUGAGACACUGGGCCUCAUCUGUAGCUAACUGCCUUCCUCCACCCUUCUUGAACCAAAAGGACCCCUCCAGACACGUCCUUGCUGAGUUAACACAGGUGGUUCUAGAACCACAAAAUUGGACAUGGUUUCAAAUAAAAUGUUGUUCUUUUUCCUAUUUUUGAAGACAGUAGAGCUCAAAGACAGCAAACACUCCCCCUACCACAGUGGUAGGCAAAGCUGAAAGCACUGUCCCACCUCUUCCCGCAGCGCGGACUUGUCCAGUUUAUUGAACCUCAAUGUAAAAUGAAAGCAUCAGAUUUGAAAAUUAUGCCCUUGCCGGGUAUGGUGGCUCACAUCUUUAAUCCCAGACCUGGAGAAACAGAGGCAGGUGGAGUUUCUGUGAGGCCAGCCUGGUCUAUAUAGUAAGUCCAAGACGCCAGGGACUAAUAUAGAGAGACCCUUUCCCCUGUCUCAAAAAUUAAAUAAAUAAAUAAAUAAAUAAAUAAAUAAAUAAAUUGUUCUAAGGAAACCUAAGUUUCCAAGUAGUUAUAGUAAAGGGGGGGACUUAAAAUGGUCUCAUUUCUACUCUGUUCCUUGCUAAACCUAGGCAGGCUCAAGGAGAGCUCUUUAUCAAUAUCUUUAAGUUACCUGGGAAUCAUUUUAUGAUGUCAACAUUGGAGUGUGACACCCACACAGUCAUUGCGGGUAGAGUGUUAGAAUGCCACCCUCCAAAGCCUUUUGGCGGUAUAAAUUAAACCUGAUCAAAAACAAAACAAAGA